AAUUUCUUGGAUUUGUUGCCUGCUAAUUGGAGGGAUAACCUGUUAUCCUCCACCUAAAGGUAAUUAUAGCUAUAUUCCCCAAAAUCAAGUAAAAGGAACUGGCCGCAAUGCAGCGGAAGCUACCGGCUCCCGUGCCUCGACAGGUGAAGCUACCGGUUCCCGUACCUCAGCAGGUGAAGCAGCCACCCAUAAUGCCUCUGCAAGCGUCACGACUGGCCCAAAUACCUUAGCUGAAGCAACUGGCCACAAUGCUUCAUCAAGUGCCACGACUGUCCCAAAUUCCNNNNNNNNNNGAAAAAUAGCUCUGAGUUUUGAAAUGUCUUUGAGAAUUUCUUGGAUUUGUUGCCUGCUAAUUGGAGGGAUAACCUGUUAUCCUCCACCUAAAGGUAAUUAUAGCUAUAUUCCCCAAAAUCAAGUAAAAGGAACUGGCCGCAAUGCAGCGGAAGCUACCGGCUCCCGUGCCUCGACAGGUGAAGCUACCGGUUCCCGUACCUCAGCAGGUGAAGCAGCUGGCCACGGUGCCUCAAAGCAACUGGCCACGGUGCCUCGGCAGCGGAAGCAACUGGACACAGUGCCAUGCAAACGGCCACCCAUAAUGCCUCAGAAGCGGCUAACCACAAUGCCUCAUCAAGCGUCACGACUGGCCCAAAUACCUUGGGUGAAGGAGCCGACUCCCGUGCCUCAGCAGAAGCAGCAACCCAUAAUAUCUCAGCAAGCGUCACGACUGGCCCAAAUACCUUAGCUGAAGCAACUGGCCACAAUGCUUCAUCAAGCGCCACGACUGGCCCAAGUGCCUCAGGUGAAGCAACUGGCCACAGUGCCACGCAAGCGCCACCCAUAAUGCCUCGACAAGUGUGGCAGCUGGCCCAAAUACCUUAGGUGAAUCAAUUUGCCACAGUGCUUCAUCAAGCGCCAUGACUGGCCUAAAUACCUUCGGUGAAGCAACCGGCCACUUUGCCUCGGCAGCGGAAGCAACCGGCCACGGUACCUCAAGUGCGGAAUCUGGUUCAAAUGCCUCGGCAGAAGCGGCAGGCGCCCUUGCCUCGGCAGAAGCGGCAGGCGCCCUUGCCUCGGCAGAAGCGGCAGGCGCCCUUGCCUCGGCAGAAGCGGCAGGCGCCCUUGCCUCGGCAGAAGCGGCAGGCGCCCUUGCCUCGGCAGAAGCGGCAGGCGCCCUUGCCUCGGCAGAAGCGGCAGG
rnacentral:lncRNA from 13 species